rnacentral:rRNA from 1 species
GUAAGGAAUAUUGGGCAAUGGAGGCAACUCUGACCCAGCCAUGCCGCGUGAAGGAUUGCCGGCCCUCUGGGUUGUAAACUUCUUUUGUACGGGAAUAACCCUCCGGACGUGUCCGGAGCUGAAGGUACCGUAAGAAUAAGGAUCGGCUAACUCCGUGCCAGCAGCCGCGGUAAUACGGAGGAUCCAAGCGUUAUCCGGAUUUACUGGGUUUAAAGGGUGCGUCGGCGGAUUAAUAAGUCCGUGGUGAAAGCCUGCAGCUUAACUGCAGAACUGCCAUUGAUACUGUUAGUCUGGAGUAUGGUUGAGGUAGCUGGAAUGUGUCAUGUAGCGGUGAAAUGCUUAGAGAUGACACAGAACACCGACGGCGAAGGCAGGUUACCAACCCAUUACUGACGCUGAGGCACGAAAGCGUGGGGAUCAAACAGGAUUAGAAACCCGGGUAGUCC